rnacentral:misc_RNA from 1 species
GUGAUUAAAUCGAGCGUGUCUUCAUUGACCGCUCUCCCUUCUCACCAUCCACAUACACCUGUGCACUGUUUAGCCUGAGCCGGUUUUCCGGUCCAGGUUAUCAUUUCAUACAAACUCUAGUCUUAUGAAUGUAAACGUUUUAAUAACAUAAUA